GUGACAGCCCCGUACACAAAAAUGCACAUGCUGUGAGCUCGAUGAGUAGGGCGGGACACGUGGUAUCCUGUCUGAAUAUGGGGGGACCAUCCUCCAAGGCUAAAUACUCCUGACUGACCGAUAGUGAACCAGUACCGUGAGGGAAAGGCGAAAAGAACCCCGGCGAGGGGAGUGAAAAAGAACCUGAAACCGUGUACGUACAAGCAGUGGGAGCACGCUUAGGCGUGUGACUGCGUACCUUUUGUAUAAUGGGUCAGCGACUUAUAUUCUGUAGCAAGGUUAACCGAAUAGGGGAGCCGAAGGGAAACCGAGUCUUAACUGGGCGUUAAGUUGCAGGGUAUAGACCCGAAACCCGGUGAUCUAGCCAUGGGCAGGUUGAAGGUUGGGUAACACUAACUGGAGGACCGAACCGACUAAUGUUGAAAAAUUAGCGGAUGACUUGUGGCUGGGGGUGAAAGGCCAAUCAAACCGGGAGAUAGCUGGUUCUCCCCGAAAGCUAUUUAGGUAGCGCCUCGUGAAUUCAUCUCCGGGGGUAGAGCACUGUUUCGGCAAGGGGGUCAUCCCGACUUACCAACCCGAUGCAAACUGCGAAUACCGGAGAAUGUUAUCACGGGAGACACACGGCGGGUGCUAACGUCCGUCGUGAAGAGGGAAACAACCCAGACCGCCAGCUAAGGUCCCAAAGUCAUGGUUAAGUGGGAAACGAUGUGGGAAGGCCCAGACAGCCAGGAUGUUGGCUUAGAAGCAGCCAUCAUUUAAAGAAAGCGUAAUAGCUCACUGGUCGAGUCGGCCUGCGCGGAAGAUGUAACGGGGCUAAACCAUGCACCGAAGCUGCGGCAGCGACGCUGAUGCGUUGUUGGGUAGGGGAGCGUUCUGUAAGCCUGCGAAGGUGUGCUGUGAGGCAUGCUGGAGGUAUCAGAAGUGCGAAUGCUGACAUAAGUAACGAUAAAGCGGGUGAAAAGCCCGCUCGCCGGAAGACCAAGGGUUCCUGUCCAACGUUAAUCGGGGCAGGGUGAGUCGACCCCUAAGGCGAGGCCGAAAGGCGUAGUCGAUGGGAAACAGGUUAAUAUUCCUGUACUUGGUGUUACUGCGAAGGGGGGACGGAGAAGGCUAUGUUGGCCGGGCGACGGUUGUCCCGGUUUAAGCGUGUAGGCUGGUUUUCCAGGCAAAUCCGGAAAAUCAAGGCUGAGGCGUGAUGACGAGGCACUACGGUGCUGAAGCAACAAAUGCCCUGCUUCCAGGAAAAGCCUCUAAGCAUCAGGUAACAUCAAAUCGUACCCCAAACCGACACAGGUGGUCAGGUAGAGAAUACCAAGGCGCUUGAGAGAACUCGGGUGAAGGAACUAGGCAAAAUGGUGCCGUAACUUCGGGAGAAGGCACGCUGAUAUGUAGGUGAAGUCCCUUGCGGAUGGAGCUGAAAUCAGUCGAAGAUACCAGCUGGCUGCAACUGUUUAUUAAAAACACAGCACUGUGCAAACACGAAAGUGGACGUAUACGGUGUGACGCCUGCCCGGUGCCGGAAGGUUAAUUGAUGGGGUCAGCGCAAGCGAAGCUCUUGAUCGAAGCCCCGGUAAACGGCGGCCGUAACUAUAACGGUCCUAAGGUAGCGAAAUUCCUUGUCGGGUAAGUUCCGACCUGCACGAAUGGCGUAAUGAUGGCCAGGCUGUCUCCACCCGAGACUCAGUGAAAUUGAACUCGCUGUGAAGAUGCAGUGUACCCGCGGCAAGACGGAAAGACCCCGUGAACCUUUACUAUAGCUUGACACUGAACAUUGAGCCUUGAUGUGUAGGAUAGGUGGGAGGCUUGGAAGUGUGGACGCCAGUCUGCAUGGAGCCGACCUUGAAAUACCACCCUUUAAUGUUUGAUGUUCUAACGUUGACCCGUAAUCCGGGUUGCGGACAGUGUCUGGUGGGUAGUUUGACUGGGGCGGUCUCCUCCUAAAGAGUAACGGAGGAGCACGAAGGUUGGCUAAUCCUGGUCGGACAUCAGGAGGUUAGUGCAAUGGCAUAAGCCAGCUUGACUGCGAGCGUGACGGCGCGAGCAGGUGCGAAAGCAGGUCAUAGUGAUCCGGUGGUUCUGAAUGGAAGGGCCAUCGCUCAACGGAUAAAAGGUACUCCGGGGAUAACAGGCUGAUACCGCCCAAGAGUUCAUAUCGACGGCGGUGUUUGGCACCUCGAUGUCGGCUCAUCACAUCCUGGGGCUGA
rnacentral:rRNA from 1 species